CUACGGGGCGCAGCAGUGAGGAAUAUUGCACAAUGGGGGGAACCCUGAUGCGGCAACGCCGCGUGGAGGAUGAAGGGUUCGGGGUGGGAAAAUAGUUUUAUAUGUCAAGAAAAUGACGGUAGCAUAUGAAUAAGCACCGGCUAACUCCGUGCCAGCAGCCGCGGUAAUACGGAGGGUGCAAGCGUUACUCGGAAUCACUGGGCGUAAAGGACGCGUAGGCGGGUUGGAAAGUCAGGUGUGAAAUCCUACAGCUUAACUGUAGAACUGCACUUGAAACUUCUAAUCUAGAGUAUGGGAGGGGGAGAUGGAAUUAGUGGUGUAGGGGUAAAAUCCGUAGAUAUCACUAGGAAUACCUAAAGCGAAGGCGAUCUCCUGGAACAUUACUGACGCUAAGGCGUGAAAGCGUGGGGAGCAAACAGGAUUAGAUACCCGCGUAGUC
rnacentral:rRNA from 1 species